rnacentral:sRNA from 1 species
GAUUCGGUAGGUGAGGCUACCUUGGGGAUAUGGGUCGGUGCCGUUAAAUGAUGGAGACAGCACGCCGCGGCCAGCAGCCGGUGUCGUAAAGGCACAGGCUAAUCCGAUUUCACGCCCCUUGAUGCUAAAGCUUGUACGACG